CAGGGGUUGGUUGUGCCAGGACAAUGGGAUGUGCAUGGAAUGCAACUAUUUCACAUAAAAAGAAAUGGAGAAGUGUGAUAGCAGGGACAGUUAUGAAUGACUACAGGGGGUCAGCAAACAUAGGGGAGAGUUAUACUCAUGAAUGACCACAGGGGGGCAGUAAGUGCUCCAACCCAACAGCAGUUACCCUUGCCUGCCCAAGGGACUAGCUGUUGGCCAUCACGCAGCCCCUGCCGCUCCAGGACGCCCCGGGAGACCGUGUGCUUGGCAGCCCCUGUGGAGCAGCUGCUAACUGUGCUGUACAGCUUCCCUCCCUCAACCCCAGACUAGCCUUGGGGAGAAGCCAGCAGGCAAGCAGCGCAGCCCCAGCUGUCCUGGACCAACCUGACCCCCGACAAUACCGGCCUGAAGCAGACACCUGACAGAAAAUAUGAUCUUGAGAACUCGGCAUAUCCAAGCAGACAGCCAUUACUCCAGCUUGCAGCAGGCAACAAUCGCCAGACAGCUAACAAUGGAACAUUAAAAAGAACAUCUAUUCUUUCUUCUUUUCCCCUUUCCCAUCUUCUCAUUGUUUAUGUUUAUCAGUCUGGAUUUUAUUUGGGAAAGUGAUUUGACAAAACUCAUACCUUUGUAAACACGGAACAUUUUGAUUGUAAUA